rnacentral:lncRNA from 1 species
AGGUUAAACAUUAUUUUUUAUUUUGACAGUGCUUCCUAUGUAACUUAAAAUGUCAAAUAGUCCUGUUAUAUGGAAAGACACAAAAAGCACAAUACAGCUUACGAUUAGCCUCAUGAAUCAUUUUUUCAAUUAACCCCCAGAAUCACAGAAGAUUCAGAGACUCUUGGGUUGCCUUGUGGUCAGAAUAAAUUUAUAGAUCCUAAGACUAAAUCAUCAAAGGCUUCAGUUAACUUUGCAGCUGCUGUGACUACACACAAACAAAAAGGGUAGGCUUUUGCUACAGGGUCAAGUGAGAGGCCAAAAUAAGCUA